rnacentral:rRNA from 1 species
UGCCAGCCGCCGCGGUAACACGGAGGGGGUUAGCGUUGUUCGGAAUUACUGGGCGUAAAGCGCACGUAGGCGGAUCAGAAAGUUAGGGGUGAAAUCCCAGGGCUCAACCCUGGAACUGCCUCUAAAACUCCUGGUCUAGAGUUCGAGAGAGGUGAGUGGAAUUCCGAGUGUAGAGGUGAAAUUCGUAGAUAUUCGGAGGAACACCAGUGGCGAAGGCGGCUCACUGGCUCGAUACUGACGCUGAGGUACGAAAGCGUGGGGAGCGAACAGGAUUAGAUA